UAUAAUCAGGUCACUGUCUGCAGAAACAUGAGGUCUGUGGUUGUGGGUUUGUUUCUGUGCACUGUCCUUUCUCUGGUCAAUGCUGGAUGUGUCCACAAGUAACACAAAACACCAGUUCAGUUUUGCCAGGACUCAACAGAUAAGACUUGGCAUCCGGUUGGAUCCACUUGGAGAAACAGUAAAUGUAUGGACUGUACUUGUUCUGCUAAUUCCAUGAGCUGCUGUGAUGCAAUGGGGAUGCCCACUCAAUAUUCAGACAAGUGCACAGUGGAGUACGAUUACACUACAUGCACAUAUGAAGUUUUUGAGAAAAUUCCAUGUCCUCAUGGUGGUGUUGGUAAAUGACGGCCAUGAAUUAAGGAAAGAAAUCAAUUGUCAGUUUUAUCUGCUGAUUUAAAGGGCAAUAACAGAAAUGUCCAAAUGAACAUGAAAUGUGCAUUACCAGGUUUUCAGAUUUGUUUAUGUUUUUGAAAGAAAUCUCUUCAAGAAAGCUCAUCAAGGGUAUAUAAAAUUGAUAAUAAAUGAGCACUAAAUCAGCAUAUUAGAAUGAUUUCUAAAGGAUCAUGUGACACUGAAGACUGGAGUAAUGAUGCUGAAAAUUCAGCUUUGAUCACAGGAAUAAAUUACAUUUUAAAAUAUACUCACAUAGAAUAUUUUAAAUUGUAAUAAUAUUUCACAAUUUUACUGUUUUCACUGUUUUGGCUGGUAAAGGCAUACAGAUACAGAAAUUUAAAUAAUAAAUUAUAUAAAUUAUGCAAAUUCUCAUUUAUAUUUUUAAAUGUAAAAAAUGUAAUAAAUGUGUAUAAAAUGUAAAAAAACAAAAUGCAUUUUGAAUUUAAAUUACUUGUACACCUGUGUUUAUAUAAAUAAAGCUGAAUCAAUACAG